GACGAACGCUGGCGGCGUGCUUAACACAUGCAAGUCGAACGGAAAGGCCCUGCUUUUGUGGGGUGCCCGAGUGGCGAACGGGUGAGUAACACGUGAGUAACCUGCCCUUGACUUUGGGAUAACUUCAGGAAACUGGGGCUAAUACCGGAUAGGAGCUCCUGCUGCAUGGUGGGGGUUGGAAAGUUUCGGCGGUUGGGGAUGAACUCGCGGCUUAUCAGCUUGUUGGUGGGGUAGUGGCUUACCAAGGCUUUGACGGGUAGCCGGCCUGGGAGGGUGACCGGCCACAUUGGGACUGAGAUACGGCCCAGAGUCCUACGGGGGGCAGCAGUGGGGAAUAUUGCACAAUGGGCGGAAGCCGGAUGCAGCAACGCCGCGUGCGGGAUGACGGCCUUCGGGGUGUGAACCGCUUUCGCCUGUGACGAAGCGUGAGUGACGGUAAUGGGUAAAGAAGCACCGGCUAACUACGUG
rnacentral:rRNA from 1 species